UUGGCCGUCAGGCGGAAAAAUAGCACGGCGGCCUGUUCUCUCCUCUACGUACGCACAACAUCACGGGGUCUUCUUCCUGGGGACGGGACGGCACAGCACCGCCGCCAUGAAUCCCGCCUCCACAUGCGGCUCGUCUACCUCUCCAGCUACCCUCUAGCAGCGCCGCUGUUGCCCUGUUCCUCCCUUCCUCACCCGCCCAACUCCUCACCCUUGCCUCCUUUUCGUCCAGGUGGACGUCUCCGAUUUGGAUAGGAUUCGAUGGCGUGUUCAUGCCACCACGCGCGGCCGGUCUUCCUCUCCAGCUACCGUCCAGCGGCACCGUCGUUUUCCUGUUCUUCCCCUCCUCACCCGCCCCAACUCCUCACCCCCAGCCUCCUCCGCCUCGAGGCUGACGUCUCCAAUUUGGAUCUUAAGUACUGGCUCCCCGACACCUCCAUCCCCUUCUCUUCCAUGGAUUUGGAUGCUUGCAGAUUUGGAUUGGAGUGCAACUGAGAUGAGGAAGGACAAAUCAUGAACAGCUCAAGUGAGAGCGAAUGGAUAUGAACACCACAACCCUCUCAGGGGAUGUUGGCUGAUCGGGAUACCCAAUACUCAAACAAGCAUGCUGAGAUGCUCUAGAUAUGGAAGUUUACCUCCAAGCUUGACCACCAAGUUUUUUUGGUUCAUGUUCAAUGGGAGGUGAAGAGUGUCGAGCGGUUAUCUGAUGCAGGUCCAAGGAAAAAAGCAAAGAGUAUUAUGACGCCAUAAAGUUUGAAUUCAGAUAAGUAUAUGCUGAAGAACACCAGAAUUAGUCUUCAUGAACCAGCGUCGCCUUGUUGAUGAUGCUUCACAUAGCGCUCACAAAUUAAACAACCUAUGAAAUUGCCAGAAGGGACCAGAUAUCCUUCUUGUAUGUGCAGAGGAAUUUCGGACAGGCUUCGUCAAUUCAGUAAAGGCUUAUGUAGAAACAUCUAUGACUUCACUGGAGAGUGGAUUUGCAUUCGAGGAGCAGCUUGAGCAGCUUUGCGCACAUGCCUAGACCUACUUUCAUGUCGGUGCUGUUGACAUGUGUUGUUCUAUGUCAGUCUUUACCUCUAGCGUGUGAUAUAAUCCAUUUUCAAACUUUUUCUAAUAGAUGUUCAUUGAACUUAUUGUCAUAUAAAAGCGCAUGUACAUUCUCAGCAAAAACAAGAAAGUGUGUGUGCCCGACCUUCUCCCA